AGGACGACGCUGGCGGCGUGCCUAACACAUGCAAGUCGAGCGAAUGAAGUUCCUUCGGGAACGGAUUUAGCGGCGGACGGGUGAGUAACACGUGGGCAACCUGCCUCAUAGAGGGGAAUAGCCUUCCGAAAGGGAGAUUAAUACCGCAUAAGAUUGUAGUACCGCAUGGUACAGCAAUUAAAGGAGCAAUCCGCUAUGAGAUGGGCCCGCGGCGCAUUAGCUAGUUGGUGAGGUAACGGCUCACCAAGGCGACGAUGCGUAGCCGACCUGAGAGGGUGAUCGGCCACAUUGGGACUGAGACACGGCCCAGACUCCUACGGGAGGCAGCAGUGGGGAAUAUUGCACAAUGGGGGAAACCCUGAUGCAGCAACGCCGCGUGAGUGAUGACGGCCUUCGGGUUGUAAAGCUCUGUCUUCAGGGACGAUAAUGACGGUACCUGAGGAGGAAGCCACGGCUAACUACGUG
rnacentral:rRNA from 1 species